UGGGGAAUAUUGCACAAUGGGCGCAAGCCUGAUGCAGCCAUGCCGCGUGUGUGAAGAAGGCCUUCGGGUUGUAAAGCACUUUCAGCGAGGAGGAAGGUGGUGAGCUUAAUACGCUCAUCAAUUGACGUUACUCGCAGAAGAAGCACCGGCUAACUCCGUGCCAGCAGCCGCAGUAAUACGGAGGGUGCAAGCGUUAAUCGGAAUUACUGGGCGUAAAGCGCACGCAGGCGGUUUGUUAAGUCAGAUGUGAAAUCCCCGGGCUCAACCUGGGAACUGCAUUUGAAACUGGCAAGCUAGAGUCUCGUAGAGGGGGGUAGAAUUCCAGGUGUAGCGGUGAAAUGCGUAGAGAUCUGGAGGAAUACCGGUGGCGAAGGCGGCCCCCUGGACGAAGACUGACGCUCAGGUGCGAAAGCGUGGGGCAGCAAACAGGAUUAGAUACCCUGGUAGUCCACGCUGUAAACGAUGUCGAUUUUGGAGGUUGUGCCCUUGAGGCGUGGCUUCCGGAGCUAACGCGUUAAAUCGACCGCCUGGGGAGUACGGCCGCAAGGUUAAAACUCAAAUGAAUUG
rnacentral:rRNA from 1 species